rnacentral:rRNA from 1 species
GGCUUAGAGUUUGAUCAUGGCUCAGGAUGAACGCUGGCGGCGUGCCUAACACAUGCAAGUCGAACGGAGAGUUUUUGAUGAAGCUUCGGCGGAAUUAAAAAUUUCUUAGUGGCGGACGGGUGAGUAACGCGUGGGUAACCUGCCUUAUACAGGGGGAUAACAGUCAGAAAUGACUGCUAAUACCGCAUAAGCGCACAGGACCGCAUGGUCCGGUGUGAAAAGCCGAGACGGUAUAAGAUGGACCCGCGUCUGAUUAGCUGGUUGGUGAGGUAACGGCCCACCAAGGCGACGAUCAGUAGCCGGCCUGAGAGGGUGAACGGCCACAUUGGGACUGAGACACGGCCCAGACUCCUGCGGGAGGCAGCAGUGGGGAAUAUUGCACAAUGGGGGAAACCCUGAUGCAGCAACGCCGCGUGAAGGAUGAAGUAUUUCGGUAUGUAAACUUCUAUCAGCAGGGAAGAAGAAGACGGUACCUGACUAAGAAGCCCCGGCUAACUACGUGCCAGCAGCCGCGGUAAUACGUAGGGGGCAAGCGUUAUCCGGAUUUACUGGGUGUAAAGGGAGCGCAGGCGGCGCAGUAAGUCAGAAGUGAAAGCCCGGGGCUUAACUCCGGGACUGCUUUUGAAACUGCCGUGCUUGAUUUCAGGAGAGGCAAGCG